CAAAAAAUUGUCUGCUCCUGGGAACAAUCUGCCAUGCAUACUGUACGUAGAUCGCAUGUUACGCACUCGUGGGCUUAGCAAAGUGCUCCAGGAUUCAAAUUAUAACAAUGAUUGAUUUCUAAAGGUCUCCUUUUUCUAAUAUAUGCACUCCAUCAAUAUUUCACGCACCACGGUUCGGCAUAUGUGCAAUUGAAAUGGCAUUCAAAUUUUAACAAUAUGCUUGAUUUCUAAAGGUCUCCUUUUUUUAUACACCCUGUAGAGGGAGAGUUCUGCGAACCUUCAGACCCGAGCAAUAUAGGCCAUUUAAUUUAGAAAUUGGAACACAACAAUCAGAAAAAUACAAACUAGAACUAUAAAAUAUGAAGAGAACUGUAAAAUAUAAGGAAUCAUAAUUAAUAUAUAUACUGAUAUUUUCGAAAUCAGUUUUAAUUGUCGACUAGUUAUUGAGAAGGAUUUUUUUUAAUUAAACACAGCUGGAAAAUUCUGUCUCCCUUACCCAUCAACGAUUAAGAACUCUAGUUAUCAUGAUUAAUGAAAAAUGUUACAUUCCAGAUCUAUUGCGUGUUGCAGCAAAAUGUUAUUAUGCAGUGAAAAUGACGUAGAGCAUUGAAACUUUUUAGGUGGGAUAAUAAAGUUUAGUUGAGAUGUACAACGGUGCAACUAUUCUAUCUUUUACUUAGAGUUAAGUUCAUGGGCGUACCGGAAGGAAAAUAUUAGGGGGACGGAAAGAAAUUUGACCGAUUUUGCGGGUUGUGCGCGACUAUUACCGAAAAAAUGUUUUCCGGAAAAAUUAUUUUGGAGACCUCCCUCCC